AGCAGCCGCGGUAAUUCCAGCUCCAAUAGCGUAUAUUAAAGUUGUUGCAGUUAAAAAGCUCGUAGUUGAAUUUCGGGAUCAAGUUGUUGGUCGUGCCUUGGUACGUACUGACGACAUUGGUUUCUCCCUUCUGAAGAACCUUGAUGUCAUUAAUUUGGUGUCUUGGGAAAUCAGGACUGUUACUUUGAAAAAAUUAGAGUGUUUAAAGCAGGCUCACGCUUGAAUACAUUAGCAUGGAAUAAUGAAAUGGGACGUUUGAUUCUAUUUUGUUGGUUUCUAGGAUCGACGUAAUGAUUAAUAGGGAUAGUUGGGGGCAUUAGUAUUCAAUUGUCAGAGGUGAAAUUCUUGGAUUUAUUGAAGACUAACUACUGCGAAAGCAUUUGCCAAGGAUGUUUUCAUUAAUCAAGAGCGAAAGUUAGGGGAUCGAAGACGAUCAGAUACCGUCGUAGUCUUAACCAUAAAUUAUGCCGACUAGGGAUCGGAUGAUGUUAAUUUUUAAUUACUCAUUCGGUGCCGUUAC
rnacentral:rRNA from 1 species